rnacentral:rRNA from 1 species
GACAGAGGGUGCAAACGUUGUUCGGAAUUACUGGGCGUAAAGCGCGUGUAGGCUGCUUCGCAAGUCGGAUGUGAAAGCCCUGGGCUCAACCCAGGAAGUGCAUUCGAAACUGCAGAGCUGGAGUCCUGGAGAGGAAGGCGGAAUUCUCGGUGUAGAGGUGAAAUUCGUAGAUAUCAGGAAGAACACCUAUGGCGAAAGCAGCUCUCUGGGACGGUACUGACGCUGAGACGCGAAAGCGUGGGGAGCGAACAGGAUUAGAAACCC